rnacentral:rRNA from 1 species
UACGUAGGGGGCUAGCGUUGUCCGGAAUCAUUGGGCGUAAAGAGCGCGUAGGCGGCCCGGUAAGUCUGCUGUAAAAGUCAAAGGCUUAACCUUUGAAAGUCAGUGGAUACUGCCGGGCUAGAGUCCGGAAGAGGCGAGUGGAACUCCUGGUGUAGCGGUGGAAUGCGCAGAUAUCAGGAGGAACACCAAUAGCGAAGGCAGCCCCCUGGGCCAAUACUGACGCUCAUGCACGAAAGCGUGGGGAGCAAACAGG